UCGCGUGGGAGAUCUAAAGAAACCCGCUUUGAGGUCACAUGUGAGUGACCUCGUAGGUGUGUCUUUUUCGACCAAUGAAAUUGAGUCUUCCACGAUCUUGGAAGUUUAACGUAAGGCAAAGGGAUGUAACUCAUUUUAUUUACGACGAAAUCGUCAGUCAAAAUAAUUCAUAAACUUUUUUGAUUGGCUUAUUAAUAGGUCGUCAAA
rnacentral:lncRNA from 1 species